AAUGAACGCUGGCGGCGUGCUUUACACAUGCAAGUUGAGCGAGGCCACCCGCAAGGGUGAGUCGAGCGGCGAACGGGUGAGUAACGCGUGGAUAACCUGCCCUGAGGUGGGGAAUAACCCGGGGAAACUCGGGCUAAUACCGCAUGAUACCUAGCGGUCAAAGGGGGCUCGCAAGAGCUCUUGCCACAGGAGGGGUCCGCGUUCGAUUAGCUAGUUGGUAGGGUAAUGGCCUACCAAGGCGACGAUCGAUAGCCGGCCUGAGAGGGUGAUCGGCCACACUGGAACUGAGACACGGUCCAGACUCCUACGGGAGGCAGCAGUGGGGAAUUUUGCGCAAUGGGCUAACGCCUGACGCAGCAACGCCGCGUGGAGAUGAAGGUCUUUGGAUUGUAAACUCCUGUCAGCAGGGAAAAAGGGAGGGACCUAAUACGUGCCUGACUUGAUUG
rnacentral:rRNA from 1 species